GGCUUCCAACAAUACCGUUCCCGAAUUAAUUGUAGGGCUUGUCAUACGUGUCGGUUUUUCUUACAAGAGUCCCCCAGAUCUGCGUGAGAAUUUAACCUUUUCUUAGCAUUGAAGCAGAGCUGAUGUCAUGUCUUCGUUCUUGUGCUCUUCCAUUUUAACAAUGACAUUCCACCUCUCCAAUCUCAUUUUCCUCAAGGGUCCAAGUGACUGAAUUCACAGCUUCGUCAUGGAAAACGCUGCCGGAUUUACGACCAUCAUCCUCACGCAUUGUUUUCGUUCCCGGCCAUGAGUUGCUCGCAGACGUUAAGCCUUCCUCAUGGAUCUUGUUUCACUGUGCAUGUAAGAAUCUGCAGAAAAACACUAGAUGAUAAUACUGUAAAGUGUAAGCUCUCUGCUAGCACAAUACC
rnacentral:lncRNA from 1 species